rnacentral:rRNA from 1 species
CUACGGGGGGCUGCAGUGGGGAAUAUUGGACAAUGGGGGAAACCCUGAUCCAGCAAUGCCGCGUGUGUGAAGAAGGCCUGCGGGUUGUAAAGCACUUUCGGUUGGGAGGACUGCUUCUAGCACUAAUAUUGUUGGAAGUUGACGUUACCUUCAGAAGAAGCACCGGCUAACUCCGUGCCAGCAGCCGCGGUAAUACGGAGGGUGCAAGCGGUAAUCGGAAUACUGGGCGUAAAGCGCGCGUAGGCGGCUAGAUCAGUCGGGUGUGAAAGCCCCGGGCUUAACCUGGGAACUGCAUCCGAUACUGUCUAGCUUGAGUACAGGAGAGGAGAGUGGAAUUCCACAUGUAGCGGUGAAAUGCGUAGAUAUGUGGAGGAACACCAAUGGCGAAGGCAGCUCUCUGGCCUGAUACUGACGCUGAGGUGCGAAAGCGUGGGGAGCAAACAGGAUUAGAUACCCGUGUAGUC